rnacentral:tRNA from 1 species
UCCUCGAUAGCGAAGCGGCAGAGCUGCGGACUCUAAAUCCGCUGGACCCUUGUUCGAUCCCAGGUCGAGCAG